rnacentral:tRNA from 1 species
UGUGGCUCAGUGAUAGAGCAUUUGCUCAGCGUGCAGAAGAUUCCAGGUUCAAGCCCCAGCAUCUCAG